UACGAAGGGGGCUAGCGUUGCUCGGAAUUACUGGGCGUAAAGGGCGCGUAGGCGGACAGCUUAGUCAGAGGUGAAAGCCCAGGGCUCAACCUUGGAACUGCCUUUGAUACUGGCUAUCUUGAGUUCGGGAGAGGUGAGUGGAAUGCCGAGUGUAGAGGUGAAAUUCGUAGAUAUUCGGAAGAACACCAGUGGCGAAGGCGGCUCACUGGCCCGAUACUGACGCUGAGGCACGAAAGCGUGGGGAGCAAACAGGG
rnacentral:rRNA from 1 species